UCGCUCCAUUAGACGCACUUUUUUCCUCCUAAAAAGUAGGGGGAAAUGUGAGUGCGUCUUAUGGAGCGAA